rnacentral:rRNA from 1 species
UACGUAGGGGGCAAGCGUUGUCCGGAAUCAUUGGGCGUAAAGCGCGUGUAGGCGGUUCGGUAAGUCUGCUGUGAAAGUCCAGUGCUCAACCCUGGGAUGCCGGUGGAUACUGUCGAACUAGAGUACGGAAGAGGCGAGUGGAAUUCCCGGUGUAGCGGUGAAAUGCGCAGAUAUCGGGAGGAACACCAAUUGCGAAGGCAGCUCGCUGGGACGUCACUGACGCUGAGACGCGAAAGCGUGGGGAGCAAACAGG